GCCGGUCUCAGUUCGGAUUGCAGGCUGCAACUCGCCUGCAUGAAGUCGGAAUUGCUAGUAAUCGCGGAUCAGCAUGCCGCGGUGAAUACGUUCCCGGGUCUUGUACACACCGCCCGUCACACCACGAGAGUUUACAACACCCGAAGUCGGUGGGGUAACCCGCAAGGGGGCCAGCCGCCGAAGGUGGGGUAGAUGAUUGGGGUGAAGUCGUAACAAGGUAGCCGUAUCGGAAGGUGCGGCUGGAUCACCUCCUUUCUAUGGAGA
rnacentral:rRNA from 2 species